GCCGCAGGCUGAAUCAUAGGGCUUCCCCGGGCACUUUCCGUUCUUUGUGGCCGGGCCCCCGGGGCUCUCACUAAGGGUGUUCGGUCGGGCACCUGGUGUGAGGGGCGGGACACGCCACUUCAAGGCCUGGGUCCUCAGCGGGUUUUUCUGAUCUGAGGCGGAGUUGGAAGCACUCUGUUUUCUUCCCCACGUGGUCUGGGCGGGGAGGACGCGUCUCGCCCCCUGGUGGGAAACGCGGCUUUUUGAAACGGGCUUCCCACGAAAGGCAGUGGCUCCCUAGUGGCUUGCGUAGGGGCCACUUGAAAUCUUGCUGGUCCCUCACGGAGACCCACUUCACAUGGAGAGUGUGGAUGUGCGGUUGGUGACCCUGCCCCCCAGAUGCUGAGGUGCCUGAAUCCCUGGCGCGGGCCAUUACUGAGCUGUAGUUGGAGUAGGCUGUGCCUUUUCAAGCAGUAUCUAUUUACAAUGAAGCUGCAGUCUCCAGAAUUCCAGUCACUGUUCACAGAAGGAUUGAAGAGUCUGACAGAAUUAUUUGUCAAAGAAAAUCACGAGUUAAGAAUAGCAGGAGGAGCAGUGAGGGAUUUAUUAAAUGGAGUCAAGCCUCAAGAUGUGGACUUCGCUACCACUGCGACCCCUGCUCAAAUGAAGGACAUGUUUCAGGCCGCGGGUAUUCGUAUGAUAAACAACAAAGGAGAAAAGCACGGAACGAUUACUGCCAGGCUUCAUGAAGAAAAUUUUGAAAUUACUACACUGCGGAUUGAUGUUGUCACUGAUGGAAGACAUGCUGAGGUAGAAUUCACAACUGAUUGGCAAAAAGAUGCUGAACGCAGAGAUCUCACUAUAAAUUCCAUGUUUUUAGGUUUUGAUGGUACCUUAUUUGACUACUUCAAUGGUUAUGAAGAUUUAAAAAAUAAGAAAGUUAGAUUUGUUGGACAUGCUAAACAGAGGAUACAAGAAGAUUAUCUUCGAAUUUUAAGAUAUUUCCGGUUUUACGGGAGAAUUGUAGACAAACCUGGUGACCAUGAUCCUGAGACUUUGGAAGCAAUUGCAGAAAAUGCAAAAGGCUUGGCUGGAAUAUCAGGAGAGAGGAUUUGGGUUGAACUGAAAAAAAUUCUUAUUGGUAACCAUGUAAAUCAUUUGAUUCACCUCAUCUAUGACCUUGAUGUGGCUCCUUACAUAGGCUUACCUACUAAUGCAAGUUUGGAAGAAUUUAACAAAGUUAGUAAAAAUGUUGAUGGUUUUUCACCAAAGCCAAUGACUCUCUUGGCCUCAUUAUUCAAAGUACAGGAUGAUGUCACAAAAUUGGAUUUGAGGUUGAAGAUUUCAAAAGAAGAGAAGAACCUUGGCAUAUUCAUAGUUAAAAACAGGAAAGAUUUAGUUAAAGCAACAGAUAGUUCAGAGCCACUGAAACCCUAUCAAGACUACAUUAUAGACGCUAGGGAAUCUGAUGCAACCACCCGCGUAUGUGAGCUCCUGAAGUACCAGGGAGAGCAUGGUCUUCUGCAGCAGAUGCAGCAGUGGUGCGUUCCUCCAUUUCCUGUAAGUGGGCAUGACAUCAGAAAAGUGGGCAUUUCUUCAGGAAAAGAAAUCGGGGCUCUGCUGCAGCAGUUGCGAGAACAGUGGAAAAAAAGCGGCUACCAAAUGGAGAAAGAUGAACUCCUAAGUUACAUAAAGAAGAGUGAAAAUUGAUGAGAGCUGGCACUCAAUAGCAGAAAAUUUGGGGUAAGGUUAGAUUCUCUCCUUCUCUGUGAGAUUUAAGAGACUUGAAUAUGUAGGCGAAAGAAAGCCAGUUUAGACCAGCUUAGAGGACCUUUUCAGAUCAACAGAGGUCUUCUGUGGUUUCAGGCAGUAAACUCAAGUCUACCUCCUCUUAAUCUCAUUUAUAUCCUUGAACCUUGUGAUUCUUUUGGAAUAACUCCUGCUGUGAUAGUAUAGUUGGCUUCCCCUGUCUUCAUCUGUCUAGGCGUCCCCUCUCCCCUACCCCAGGGUAACGCAUUACUGAUCUUCAUAAGUACUGUCUUUAAGAAAGAAGUGUUUGAUGUUUGCAGUUGAAAUAACUACAUUAUUUUACCAUUGUCUUUAAGUGUCAAUUCUUACUUGAAUUUCAAAAUAAAAUUGUGUUUAAAGUAGCUAAUAAAAUAUCCUGUAUAAAAUUAUAAAGACCAGGUAUGUCCCUGGUGGUUGGCAUUCAUACACUCAAAACUGUUCUAGCAGUCUCUAAGUUUUAGUACGUAGUCCAUAUCGUCCUUUGUUAUCAACGAUUUCUUUAGGCAUACUAGGCCUGAGAAAGACUGGCUUGACAGUUACACUUGAGCCUUUUAUUUUAAUAAACAUUCCCUUUGGAAUUGGAAGAUAAAUGUGUUUAUGUGGUAUAUGACAGUAUACAUCAGAUUUAUAUAUGGCAAUAGCACUUCUAUACCCUCAGUCAUUAAUUUUUUUCACAAAUUAAAAAGAUAUGGCCUACAUUAAAACAUCCAUGACCAGACUUGUAUGUAUGCUUUUUAAAAUCUUGAGCCCCAAGUGCUUUCAGUAGGUAAAGGGGUGUACAGUGCCAAGUAUUAUUUCAGCUGUUACAUUCUGACAUUUUAUAAUUGAUUUUACUUUUUGUGUAGCCAGUCCUAGCAUCUCUGUCCCUUGUGGGGACAAGUUAGUAAUUUAAGUCUCACUAAAAUCAGAGAAUCUGUAUUUCUAAAUACAAGUAUGCAGAGAGAGAGAGGUAUUUCAGAGGUCUUAUUUUGUUACUUAUAAAACCAUUUUAAAAUAGUGUUAAAUGCAUUUCUUUUAUAUAUAUGAAAAUUUUAUUGGCCAGUGUUAGUAAACAAAAUAGAACACUGUGAGAAUACACCCUUCAGGUGGCAAAAGUAAAAGUAGUGUGCCCUCUCUGUGACUGUGCUGCUGGCAUAGUGUAAGGCUGUCUGAACAACUGGUUACAGUCCUGUAAACCCAAGGUUUUUAGUACUACAAAACCCUACAGCUUGGGGAUAUCCUACAGAAUGGACAGUGUUCUUGAAAUGCUUUUCACUUACCUCUGUACAUAAAUACACAACAUGAGAUCUUCGGUUGAGCAUUUUAGCUUAGGCAAUCAUAACCACUGCACAUUUGGUAAAAGAAAAUAUUAAUAAAUUAAAAAAAGAGAUUUAGCAGUCUGUUUUUGGUCUCCUACAUUUCUCCCCAUUAGUUGAACUUUCCCCAAUUAUGUAAAGCAGUGAAGUCGUCAUAUUUACAGAAAUGUGCAAGGAUCCAAUCAACACUUGAACACAGAAGCGAAGAGGUAGGUGGCUAAUCGAUCUAUCUAAAACUUCAUCUUAAUGCUUAAAUUACCAGCUUGUGAGUAUAUAUUUUACAUUAUUUAAACAAAGAUGUAUAAUAUUGUUUGCUCUUAAAUUUUACUUACAGAUUUUCAAUUUACAUGGAAUGGAGUGCUUACAAAAUACAGUUACUUUUUAGCCAGAUAGAAGGGAGGUGUGUUCUAAUAAAUAUCUCUGUUCCAUAUUAAUUUAGGUUCAAAUUGGAAUUUGGAACAGAAUAACCAGGUUGUUCAGACAAACACUGAGCAAAUAAGUUACAUUUUUCACUAACAAAUGCGUAAGGAAAUGAACACUAUUUUGGGGCUCAAACUGUAUAUUUUAACUCUUUAAUAUUUUCAAAAUUUACAAAUCAGUAUGAGAGAAACUCAAGAAAAUUAAAGGACCUUGUAUUUGGCACCCUGGCUUUGGGAACUUCCGUCAGAGCACAGGUAAGAAUUUGCUGUUGGUUCCAUGUAUCACAAGCAAGUGGCUAACCUCGUGUCAGAGGAAUUACAAAGAGGUUCGUGCAGGAAACCCAUCUCCUCCCUUCCAGAGAGGUCUUCAUGUCCUAGCAGGCCAGACUAGAAUGAUACCAAGGUACUAAGGUAGAUAUUCCUAAAAACCAAGUUUUCUAGACUGUUUUUCAUCCUUUCAAUAGUAUAUUUUAAUUUAAAACUUCAAAUACCUUUUGACUAAGAAACUGCAACCUUCCAUAUAAUGUUGCUUUUUACUUGGGUAUGCAUCAAAUGCAGUAAUUUCCAAAGCAGAUCUGAUUUUACAAGACCAACUUAAUAAAUAUUAACUUUAUCUCUACUGCAUUUGUUUAUAAGCAAAGUAUUACUUUGUCAGGGCUUAUCUCAUCUUCAGUGUCUGGGAUAGUGGGCAGCAGAGCGGAUCGAGUCAAACCCCAAAAUUUUUGAGGUGACAUGUCUUUUUUGGUGGCCGUAAAUUUCCAUCCAAUAUGGCUUGCACAGAUCCUACACUGGGCGAUAGUCCAAGCAUACCUACAAAAUUAAAGAAGGGUAUCAGCUAAGGAAACACAUCUCUGUACCCCAAGCCUAUCAUUGUAUAAAGCUGUUAACAAGACAGAGCUAAAUUCUACAUUGUUUCCUGAAACAAACUUGAUUGUGGUUUUAAGCUGUGUUUAUUUUUUUUCUUUCUUGGCACUGGACAAAAAACUGAAUCUUGUUGAUAUGGGAUUAACUUGCAGGUACCUUUCCUUGGUGGUUUUGUAUUGCAGUCAUGUUACAAAACACCAUCCACCUCCAGAAAUACAUUCUUGUGAGUUAAAUAGGUGGUGGGAGGGAGAGAUACAUGAAUUUCUCAUCUAAAAAUCUAAGAACUACUUCACUGAAGUAUGAUUUUGUCAGAAAAUUCAUCCAGAAACUCAAAUUAUAACUAGCAAAAUAAACCAAAUCAUGUAACUGAAACCAUUCCCUAGGUAUAUUCCCACAUAUUUAUUAACAAGUUAAUUCUAGUUUUAAUCCUUAUAAAUAAGACUGGACAAUCCAAGUGAUAGGGUCCUAUGUCCAAAAUGGCAAUUAUUAUUUUUAAUUUAUUUUAGAGAUAGAAAGGCUGGGGGACGGUGUUUUAAGCAAACGUGGGACUUGAUCUCAACUAUCCUGUGAUCACGACCUGAGCAGAAACUAAAAGAUGCUUACCCAACUGUGCUACUCAGGUGCCCCCCCAAAUCUCUGCUUGCCUCUUUCAAAAAUCAAAGAAUGACCCAGAAUUCCCUCAGCCUUACUCUUUUCAAGAACCCCAAGUAUUUCCCAGGUGGUGAUGCUGGUCCUAGGCUCCUACUUUGAAGGGCACUGGGCUAAACAGAAAAAAAAGCCAGCUGUUUUGUUUGUCACUGCUUGGGAAAUACUCUCUGGUCUGAAAUACUACAGAAUGUGGUUUAGAUACAGUUUUACUGGGUUAUAAGCCAGCUGGUUUUCAGAAUGAGCUAAAAGGAAAAAUGAAAAUUCUGGAUUAAAUGCAUAGUUAAUUUAAGGAUAACUGCAGUUGGCAACCUUCUAACUUUAUGUUUAGGGAGAGUAUGCCAAAGUAGCUGUUACUAGCCAUUCAUAAAAUGAAGAGCAUUUAAAUAGUAUUCAUCUCAUUGUCUAUUUUUGAUUAUAAUUCUAACAACUCUGCUUAGGACUCUGUCCAAUUAAGGCCCCCCACCCGCGGCAAAAGUAACCACCACAUUACCCAGGAAACCAGCUGUGCUCUGUAGAAGGCCGGCCUAUGAGGUUCAAGUUGCAAGCCUUAUACACGGUCAGUGUCUCAUGCACAUAUCCGUGAGGAUUCACAUAAGCUGCCAUCGGUCCACACAAUGAUAAACUGCAAGAGAUAAUCAGCGUAGAAGAUAAGUCAAAAUGGGAAGGAGAAAGUCUAAUUAGAGGUUAUAUGAGGUAACAUCAGACCUUUAGUAUGUAAACAGGAGGUUGGGAGUCAGCCCAGUUUCAUUCAGUCUACAUGUCUGUAAAACGGAGCUCAUCUAAAGGAGUCUCUGAGAGUGAAAGUACAGUGAAAAGGUCCUAUUAGGCAUCCUUGGGUAACUGAUUACUUUGUAGGCAACAGUUUCCUUACUGUCCUGAUUUAUAAUUAUCAUUUUGUACUAAAGUAAUUCUUACACAUUUAUGUCACACAGGAUCAGUACAUGUUCAGAAGGGCCCUAUGUGUGCCUAGAAGAUCCUACCUGAGGCAUUCAUCUUAGGUCCUUAAUCACUAGGAAGGAAACAAAUUAUUUAGCAGGAAUGGGAAAGAAAAGAAUUGCCCCCUUGUUUGACUUUACCAUGCCCGUUACUUGUGAAUAAGAUCUUAAAUCACCACUGCUGCUGAGCACCCAGUCAGGAAGGGUUUCUUAAACUCCCUUAGAGCAUUUGCUGAAUGACUGUUUUUAAUAAGGAAGAUAUAUGGAUAAUGGAAAUACAGUCUUGACUAUAACUCUGUUAGAGCAGUUGGGAAAAUGUAUUCAGAAGUAUACUGAACAUUUCUCACCUGAAUAUUUCAUUUUUGGUUGUUAUUUCUGUUUCUUGACAUUGUUUACAGCAAAGAGAUGUACACUAAAAAAAUUAAGAGAAAAUUAGUGGGGAAAAUUCACACUUGUUAAUUAUGUAAUUACAAAGCCCAUCAAGAAACUAAAGUAUUGCUCCCUCUAAAUACCAUGCUUUCCUUCCAACCAUUCAAAAACAGAGUUUUAAAGUAGGACUAAGAAAACCUCUGAGAUCUGACACAUACUCACUUUUAAACUACUGACUUUGUAGGACAAGAAGUAAUAGACACUUAUAAGCACAAAUGCUUCGUGUAGAAAUGGAAGUGUUUGAGGAAUGUAAAAACAGUCUAAGUAUCUGUAUGAUCCCAAAUGAAAUAUCUAAAUUAUCCUUUAAAUCAUGUAAAACUGGGGUGCCUGGGUGGCUCAGUGGGUUAAAGCCUCUGCCUUCAGCUCAGGUCAUGAUUCCAGGGUCCUGGGAUCGAGCCCCGCAUCGGGCUCUCUGCUCAGCAGGGAGCCUGCUUCUCCCUCUCUCUCUCUGCCUCUGCCUACUUGUGAUCUCUGUCUGUCAAAUAAAUAAAUAAAAUCUUAAAAAAAAAAAAUCAUGUAAAACUAAUGGGGUGGCUGGGUAGUUCAGUUGGUUAAGUGUCUGCCUUCGGCUUAGGUCAUGAUCUCAGGGUCCUGGGACAGAGUCUCAUGUUGGGCUCCCUGCUCAGAGGGGAGUCAGCUUCCCCUCUCCCCCCUCAUUUAUGCUUGCUGUCUUUCUCUAGGGCACUCUCUCUCAAAUAAUUAAAAUCUUGAAAAAAAUAAAUCAUGUAAAACGAGUAAACAACUAGUUUUCUAGUUGCAUGACUAUACGACUGGGUCGCAUAGAUAAUCAAGCCUAAAAUACGGGUGUCAUGAACAUGGUAACUUUACUCACUUUAUUCAUAAUAUCUAGUUCACAGCGAAGUCGUUGGAUGGCACUGCCAAUUUUAAGGAGCUGAAUCCUUAAUACAUCAUCAAUAGGAAGACAAGCAGCUACUCUGUAAGAAAAAUCUGAAAGACAUGGUGGUUUUUUUAAGUUUUAAAUAUUUGAAGCAAAUAUGAAUCAUAUAAUAAUGUCUUUUUGAAAUAAACCCUCUCUACAGAGUUCCCAAAGAAUGUAUUGGACAUAAUUAUAAACAAUACUAAAAUACACUAGCUAUUGAGUAUAUAUUCUUAGGAAGUUCCAAAAUUAAUUUCUUUUCCCAUAAUUGGCUUUAGAAAUGUCUUUUAUUUAUUUUGAGCAAUAUAGGUGGGAAAGUUUAUUGCAGUGAGAGUGGCAAGCUCCAAAGAGCUGUGCCCUGGAGUUUGGGUUUCUUUUAUUAACAUUUUUUUUUGAUCUUUUAAACAUGAAAAUCAAACCCAUGAUAAAAGAAGUCAGUCUGCUACAAGACUAGAAAAAUGGCUACAGUAAUUGUACCUAAUAACUAGAGAGAUUAUAUGUACGUAAGAUAAAUAAGUCUUAGAACUAGGGUCCUUUUCAAAGCCAUCUUAAAGAACAGGGAGAGUUCUGACACUCAAAUUUUUGAAUGUGCCCCAUUUACUGCAAUUUGGUCUAUGGCCUAAUACCCUGAACAUGCCUGAUAGUGUCUGUGAUCUGAACUUAGCCGGUAAACUGCUUAAGAUUAGACUGCUCACAAAAUUGAAGAACUCUCUUACAAUUAAUUACUCAUUUUUUUAAAUGUUCAAAACAAAUGUCUAUGCUUUUUAGAAUGAAUAAAAAUAUUAAACAGAAAAAUGAUUUACUAAAACAUCAAAGGCCAUAGGAAGGAAGUAGACUUUGCAUACCUAUUGGAUUUGAAGGAAGAGAGUCAUCUUUUAGAUUUUCAUCCCAUUCACGCAGCUGUUUCUUGAUUCUAUCCAUUAAAGUUUCCUUGUUUAAAAUAAAAGCAGCCAUAAUAAGGUUCACAGACUUUUUAGAACUUAAUGCCAGAUUUUCAGCUCAUAAAAUAAAACUAAUGUAUUAGUAGCAACUUAAGUCCUCACUGUACUAAAAUCUGAAUCCCCGUUUAAAAGUGUCUGUUUUCUUACGCUCUGAUGACCAAAGCCCCAGUUCAUGGGCCAGCACUAAAUUGGCUUUCCAGGCCCCUCUCCUCCAUUGUCUUUUCCCAGUGGCAUAGGCUCCUGACUUGCUGUCCUUUAGGUGUUCUUUGAUCAACUGUGUGGAACUGGCCUCUCUUCUCCCCCUUUCUAGGAUGGCUUUUCUGACUGUUCAUAGGGACAGUGGCUCCUAUAAACUUCACGAGCACUUGCUACCUACAUACCUUACUUGGCACCUCUUUGGUAAACAACAGUGCAUACUAUCUUUUCACAAAUGUAUGCGAACAGUACUUGUUUAUCUGUAAUGGCCCAAAGCUGCUGCAGGACAGAGUGAACUGUAGUUUCCUUUAGUGUUGUGCUUGCGGUAAGUGUUCAACCUUCAGUGCUUAGUCUUCUGAAGCAAGAUUCCACAUCUGUGCAUGAGAUGAUUCACUAAGGGAAAUGACUAACAUUUGUUGAAUGUCCUACUAUGUGCCAAGUACAGUAACUAUCAUUAUUCCCAUUUUAAAAAUCCAAUUAUUUAGGUAAGUAAUUUACCCCAACCACAGAGGAAACGAUAGGAGAGCUUCAAACACAGUCUUUUGUGUCUAAAACCCAGAUUCUUUGAACAAUUCCAGUUUAAGUUUUGAAAGGCAUGGUGAUGCCUAAGUAUUACAAUUUGAGAAGCAAAACACUUGAGGAUGUAGAGGACGGACUAACUGGGGAUCAGGAGAUAAGAAGUUUCUAUUUUCGUAUAGGAAAAAAACCAAAAUAAUAUUAUGGGAUUCUUUAAUUUUCUAAAUCUACCUUUGCUCACCACAUUUCAAAUCCUUAGUAGACCCCAAAAUGUCUCAUCCUAUCCUAAAUUUAUAAGCCACUAGAAACUAGGAAAAUGAAAAAUCCUACAGAUUAAAGACAAAGUGAAUUCAGUAGUAUCUGAUUUCUUUGUGCUCUACCUAAAUGUAAAAGAUGGGAUUAGUUCUGAAAAUGAGAUACCACUGAGUAUGAAAGACUAUGACCCUUAAUUAUGACAAGGCUUACCCCAGAAAAAAGUACAAAGUAAUACUUACAGCAUCAUAUAAGGAAUAUAGCCAGCGAGGCCAUGAAGUCAAAUUUGCACAAUGAAACUUUCUCUGAAAACAGAAAAAAAAAAAGUCACUUAAGAAACUCUGUAAAGAUUCUUAUAGUGGAAAGAAAAAUACCUGAAAAUUAAUUUUGACCCUGGAAAAAAAUUUAUACUUUCAAAAAUAUGGAACAUUUUGUAGAUAACCCUGUAUCUGAUGGUUUUCUAUUAAAUUUGACAAUCAUGUUUUCUAAGAUUUUAUUUAUUUGACAGAUCACAAGUAGGCAGAGAGAGGGGGAAGCAGGCUCCCUGCUGAGCAGAGAGCCCGAUGUGGGGCUCGAUCCCAGGACCCUGAGAUCAUGAUCUGAGCUGAAGGCAGAGGCUUAACCCACUGAACCACCCAGGCGCCCUAGAAUCGUCAUUCUUACUGGCAAAGUUCAUGAAAUUUCAGUGCCAAGCAAACUUAGUAAAAUUACGAUGAACUUGAAGAGUGACUAAACAUACUUCGGUCGACCACAUUACCUGCUUUUAUACUAUUGAUUAUUUGUUGGUUCAGUAUGUGCAGUGAAAUUAUCAUCCAAAUGGUCUUUGUGUAAAACUUGAAAUGGCUUUCAACUGAAUUACCAAGAGGCAAACGUAAGAAAUGAGGCAAUUCAAAGAAAACAAUGAUCAUACACUUGAGACUCAGCAUUAUUAAGUCUCCAUUUAACAGAAUUCAGGAAAGGGGAAAAGCACUGUGUGUGUCUUCCAAUUGUUGCAUUUUGGAAUCCAAAUGAGAGUGGGCCUAAAUCCAUAGAAAAAUGUGAAUUAUACUUAAAUUUCAGUAGAAUUUCUAAUUUGAUGAGAAGGCUCAAUAAUCACUAAGAUGUCAGUCCUCAGAGUUUAUAUUCAAUAUAAUAUCAACAUGAUUGGAAUUAAGAAGCAUAAGUUAAAGUUCAUUUGGAAAAAUAAAUGUAUAACCUACCAAGAAAGUCUGGAUAACAAGGUAUUUUAUAGGACACAAAAAUAUGAUUGGGAGAAUACACUGCAGUAGUGCUGUUAACAGCAACAAACUGGAGACAACCUAAAUGUCAAGGAACAAUGUAGUACAUUGUUGUGUCUGUAUACAGGAGAGGAUAUACUGCACCUGAUCAAGCAAGGCCUAUGAAACCUGAGGAGAAUAAAGAAAGAUUACAUCUUUCUCCAUAAAGAAAAUAAAACCUACAGAGGUACAGAUAUUCAUACUUUUGUAGACUGUUAACUAACACUGGGUAUGACACAGGAAAAGUGGGUAGGAAAGGAGGAAGGUGGCUCAACACAGACUGUCCCACAGUAAGACAAGCAAAGCAAGCUUGUAAGACUUAACAAAAUGAAAGGGAGAUCCUAUGCUUGUACUCGCAAGACCAAAUGGAUGUGAAAUGAGGAAGGUACACGAUGCAUGUAGGAAAGACUUGGGACUUAGCUGAUAGUUAUGAACUAACCUUUGUGCUGCAGAGCUCCUAUCCUACUCUCUUCUGCAAUCCUGUGCUUGAAGAAGUCCAGAAUCUAAGAUGAGACAAUAAUGUUCCCCUUCUCUGACAGUCAGAAAUGGGAAACUCCAUUGUCAGGGGCCAGGAUGCUAGGAGGAGGUCAAGAGUUUGCUCUACAGAUGUUCAGUUUGGAGCUGCCUCUCAAGGGGACAUGAUAAUUAUUUUAAAAUAUCUUAGGGAAAUACUUAAAUGGAUGAGGAUAGACUUGUUUUUCAAGGCUCAUGAAUCAAAGGAUUCUUUAAUGAGAUGAAUUUUUGGUUCAAUAUAAUCCUUGUAUUUGAAGCUACCAAAAGAUAGGUCUGGGAUGGCCUCCAAGUACGUGUUUGAAAAGUAAUUUAAGCCAGAGGAGCGAGAACAUAAGACACUUAAGUUACUCUCCAAUCAGUUCUUUAUGUUUAAGCCAAAAAAAGUUAAGACUAAGGAUUUUGGUCACCGUACAAAUAAAUACUACAGAAUAAAAACACAAAAUAAAAACACUAAAGCAGCCUAGCAGGCAACCCUAACAGAGGCGUCUAUGUCCGUAUGUGUCUUACAAAAGUUCUCUAGUUUGGUAGCAUUAUCAUCCACGUUCCAAAGAUAGGGAAGCAGAGGCACAGAAGGAUGGUAAAACUUUCCCAGGGUCACAGCUCAUAAAUGGGGGCUGCUAGACUGUGCAUCCAGGGAGUAUGACUAACCAUUAUUCAAAUAUUCAAAAAACACUUUAAGCGCCCAGUAUGUGUCAGGCAUUUGGGGUAAACCAGGGAUUACAACAAAGACUAAAAUUCUUCCCCUGUGGAGCAUAUACUUAGUGCAGAGAAGCUUACUUUCUGGUGGUAUACUCAGAAUUACAAUAUGACAAAAAUCCAACAAAGCUUCAGUGUGGCUGGCUGACACACACUGCACACUCCCCGUUCAGUUAUUAACCUACACUUAGAAUGAUGGGAGAAUGAUCAUUUUUAUAAUACAAAAACAUAUAAUUUUAUUUGGCACUCAUAUCAAGAUAGGAGCCAAACCAAUUUAUUCAUCUAUAAACAUUCCUUCCCAUGAGAACAUAAGGUGACCAGAGAGCAUGGCCAGCUAGUCUACUGAGAGCAGAGCAGUGGGUCAGGAUGGUAACCACAUGCCCUACUGCCCAUGCGUGCUUGGUGAAUGUGACCAACCUGCAACACAGGUGUCUCAGUUCUGUACCUUUUUACAGUGAGAAGGCCAUUAAAAUUCUUUAUCAGGAUUAUCGUGACAGACUCUAAAGUUCUAAUCAUAGAUCAAUUAAAUACAUUUAUCCUUCAUAUUUGUGAUGUGUUUUAUACAGUCAACUUUACAUCAGUAUUAUGGAGACUAACAACAAAGCAGAAGAAAAUGAAGAAUCAUGAAUUUGGUCUACAUGACAUCCGGUCAUAGCAGUGAAGGAAAUUACGACCUUUUCAGAAAAUGCUAACAGGAAAAUAGGGAGCCAUCAGGGGAAAAAAAAAAACAACCCAUAACUGAAGAGAAGUAUACCAAAAAAGACCAGCUAGCUUAUAUACAGCAAAUAAUGCCCAAAUUUAGGCCAUUUCAAUAUCUCCAAUUUCAAGUCCAAUUUAGACUUCCGACACAAUAAGCAGAGGCUCCUGUCUUGUAUCUGGGUAAUAGCAAUGGUAAAUUCUAGCAAUUUAUCGGCAUUCUUCACAUAUAUCAACACCAUGACUGACUUCUUAAAAGGGCUAUACCUCAAAAAGGUUUUAAUACCAGCCCAAAAGUUAGGUGCUUAAAAAUGACCACUGACUGAUUCUCUAGAGAAGAUAUAGUCACUCUGGGAACAGGAUUUACUACUGAAAGAAGGCAGAAAGCCCCUUAAAAUGAAAUAUGUUACCUGAAGGAAAUUCAUCACAUUCUUCCAUUUUUAAACUUCAUAACUAUAGCUCCACCUUUGUCUUCCAAUAAUGUAGAAUAUUUAAAAAACGUGAAACUCUUCUUAAAUGGUCGAAGUACAAUGAAAUUGGAAGAGUAAUGUAAAAGGCUAAACAUGAAUAGUAAAUCAUCAUCACUGAUAUACACAGUGACCAAAGGUGGUCAUUUAUUGUAUUAAAUCCCAUCACGAUCAGCAAUGUAAAUAAUGAAAACAAUCUAUCCAAGUAAUUCAAAAGCUACUAUUUUUUUUUCCUUCCUUCAUUUACCAAAUUCCUACUUGAAUGAAAAAAGGGGAAGAGAAGGAUAUGCUCUUUCCUGCUUUGAGAGUUCUAAACUCCUCAAGGCAGAUACACAACUACAAGGAUAAGAUGGACGCCUGGGAAAUCACAAAUCUGUCCACGGAAGUCCUUGACCGCGCAGAGCCCAAAUUUCAAGACUUUUUUCUUCUUUACUAUAAAAAUAGGUAUGGAUGUUACUGUUUUACUGCCCCUGUUAUUAUUCUGGGACAAGACAAAAACAAAUUCUUAAGUUCCUAUGAAAAGGCAAAGCAACAGCCAGCAACACCUUGAAAAAAGAGAAGACUAGCAAGGGGGUUACCAGUUAUAUUUAUAUUUACAAAAAUUAUAAAUUGUCAAUGGCUGUAACAGUAUUAUGGAGACUAACAACAAAGCAGAAGAAAAUGAAGAAUCAUGAAUUUGGUCUACAUGACAUCGGUCAUAGCAGUGAAGGAAAUUACGACCUUUUCAGAAAAUGCUGACAGGUCAAUAGGGAGCCAUCAGGUAAAAACAAAAAACAAAAAACAAAAAAAACAGAACUGAAUUCAUAGUCGGAUAAACCAUAGAUGGAUAAAAGCUUAUAAGUUUUGAUUUCAUUAAGAGCAGUGAAAUCAACAAUCAAAAGUAAAAGAUUGCAUUUUUAGUAUUUUUUUUUAAUAAGAUUCCUCUGGGGAAGUAAUUUCUAGAUAUAAUUCAGAAUACAGAGGCAUUAACAAAGGUAAAUUCAACUAUGUAAGGACAAAAAAAAAAAAAACCUUUCUAAAAUAUGCCAAAGACAAGUCACAAACCAGGGAAAAUGUUUGAAACCUAUUAGGUACAGCCAAAGGGUAAGUUUCCUGACAUAUGAUGAACUAAAAAUCUACAAAGGACAAAUACAAUGAACAGAUGCUUCUUAGUAAAGAAAAUACAAAUUGCCAUUCAACACAAAAUGUUACACCUCAUUCAUAUCCAAAGAAAUUCAUAUUAAAUCUCCAAGAAGAUUCUGUAUUUUACUUAUCAGAUCAUCAAAAAUUAAGUUGAAUACUACACUGUCUGUGAAGCUGAUACAAGGGUACACUUAGGGGAAACCUCUUUAGUAAGGCAGUCUGAAAAUACCUGUCCAAAUUACAAAUGCAGCUUCCCCGUCCUCCAAUAAUCCCAUGUCUCAAAAUUUAUCAUACAUAUUUACGUGUACGAAUGGUCAGUGUACACGGUCAUCUUUGGGGACUGGUUAGACACAGGCUAGUGCAGCCACACCAGAGAACACUGCAGCUCUGGCAGUAACAAGGAAGUUGUGUUCCAAAAGCCAAUACAGAAAAUCUCCUAUAAGAAAGAACAGGCCUGGGACAGUGUAUUUUUCACAUAAGAAAACGGAACAAAAUGAGAAUAUCUGUGUCUUCACAGAGAAAGUAUGGCAGACUUAGAAACCAAUGUGUGACCCUGCACUGGAGGGCUUUGCCCUUGGGAAUAAGUCAGUGUUCAGUUCUUCCCUGUUCCAUAUGAGCAUGGUUUAUAAAUUCAGCAAGACUGGAAAGAAGAGCAUCAAACACUUUCUUAAUUUGUUUCCACAUUUCAGUUUUUUACAUUUCACAGUCAGCUCUUUUCUGAUGAACGCAGUACGGCUGUAAUAAAGGAAUGAAGAGAUAGUCUGGGUAAGGAGGGAGUGUACUUAAUACGUCAUGCUCCCGAGUAGGUUAAAGAAAAGCUUCCUCACUGAGUACCCCACUACAAAAACCCAAGGAGGGGUGAAAGGCACUGAGAUAGGAAAUAAGUAAACAUUAGUUUCAAAGAUCAAAUCACAGAACAAGGAACAUUUCCAGAUGGAAAUGAACUCUGGAAGAGUGUUCCCUGAUUAUCCUGGCUGAACUCCUUAGGGAUUAGGGACAUCUUCUUUGAUGCUGCCCCGCUAAAGUGGACGAUGACACAGGAAUACCUGCGGAAGCUUAAUUCUUUGUCAUUUGGGAGGUGCAGUUCUCAGUGGCAAAUGUGGAGAAGUGUGUGCAGUUUCAAGGUUCACUGAAUAUACAUCAGGAAGGCCACACUCUGAGACCCUCGAAAUAUCAUUUCUGCUAAAAAGGUAGGGCAAUUUGGUAAGUUUGGGUUGGCUAAGAACCACACGAGCAUCUUCCAAUUCUGACUACCUACUUCUCAGACAUGGAAGACAAACGGAUGCACUGCUUAGGAUGCUGGUGGGUAGUAUGGAGCAGAUGUGAAUAAACUCUAUGAAGAGAGGAGUGGAUUGAGCCUUAGAUCCAUCUAAAGACAAGCGAUAUUAUGCGAUCUAGUCCUGUGGUACGUUAGCACCUGGCUAACAGUGCGGUAAGCCAAACCAGAGACAGGACCAGCACAUGUGGACACCAAGGACACCUACCAUCCCCUUUCCCUUCACUUUGUGAGUGGCUCAGGGUGGAGAACAGUUUUUUAGGCCAUCUGCAGUCCAAAACAGAUAAAGCAAUUUUUCUUGCCUAGUGAUCUAGAGCCAAAUUUCAGAACCUAACAAACUUUACUCAAAUUUUAAGCAAGGGAACACAUUUAACAAUCUGCAAUACACACAGGAUGAAGGAACUGUAUUUCCUAAACCUAAAACUUUUUAUGCCUCUCUUCUUCCUUAGCAUCUUCUGUUUAGUCCUUGGCAACUCUGAACAUGAAAGUAACCCAGUGCUAAUGUUUGAGGGUCUAGAAGAAUUAUUAUUAUUAUUAUUAUUGAAAUAAGACCUGGUUCCAAACAAACAUGCUUCCUUGGUCUUUUCAUGUCUGGCUCUCUUUGCCUAUGGUAAGCCAGUGGCAGCCCUGCUGCCAAGGCCUAAUUUGGAAUUUACUGUGAACAAGCUAAGGUGCUUUAGCCACAGGACAGCAAGUCAAUCAGUAAUUCAUACAAAAAUUAGAAUAAAAAAGCAGUCUUAUUUGUUUAACUCAUCAUGUUCAGGGUUAAGAUGGCAAGAUCCCACAGACAAGGACACACAGCCAGCACGGAACACUUAAGCCAGGAAUGAAUGUCCGUCACACCCUACCGCUUACCACUUUACAAAGAAAAAUUAGGAUUUUUUCAUGGUUAAUUUUUAACAAUCAAUCUUCGUGCAGAAGAAUGAUACAAAUCAAAACAUUUGAUAUCUCCUAAAAAACAAGUUCAUGGUUGAAACAUGCAACUAUCUAAAUAUGAUAAAAAUAGGCAGCAUCUUGAUGCAGUUUCCUUGCCACAUAACAUCACAUCAGCACCCGGUGCUGAACACACUAUUAGGCAUUAAACAACUUAAUAAAUUCCAAAGCUACUUCCUUGGAGCCCAUGUACCUCAGAGCUGACUCUGACAUACUUAUUUCAAGUGAUAUUUAAAAUGACCACGAUGACAAAAUCUUCCACUGUUCUACCAUUAAACUAAAACAGGGGUAAACUAUGUCUCUAUCAGGUUUGAAAAAAGAAGGACUGCCUAACUAUACAAAAGUUGCCUGCAAACUUAAGGCAGUAUUUCUUAAAUCUUCAAAAAUAUUAGUGUUAAGGUGGCAUGGGAAUCCUUAAGCAAUCUAAACAUUUAUUAGAUUCUUUCUAGAAACACUUGUUAAAACACAGAAAACCAUGUCUCUAAUUGUCCAACUGAGAAAUAGAAUAACAAGAUCAAGAAGCCUACAGACACCUGGUUAUGAGCCUGCUGCCUGCCAAGAAGCCAUUCUCACAAGGCCCACUCUGAAAACUAGGCGAACUCGACCUCAAGAACAUUAAAAGUGGUGGUACAUGGACUAGUGCAGAAUACUCCUUCUUCAAUUGUCUAUACUGAUAUUAAAUCAGGAUCCUACGGUAAUUUACUCACAAUUAAAACCUGCAUGACUUGACAAAGAAUAGGGGUGAUUAGUGCACAAUUUUUCAGGUUAAAAUAGAAAUUAUCUCCAUAUUUUAAAAAGAUAAACCUUAAAGAACCUGUACUUCCUAAAUUUAAAAAUGGAUAGUCAUUUCCUUUAGGCAGGAAUUGUAUACUCAAAAUUGAUACAUCUCAAAAAUGAGUAGAAACAGGCUUCAUCAAUUAUUUUCUAGCGUGAUCUAGCCAAAAGGAUAUGUGUAAGAACUAAUGCCGAAACAACCAAUGCUUUAACAGAGCACAAAGUCUCAAGCCAACUUUUGUGGUGUCAACCACAAUGUAUAAACAGAUAGCUAAAAAGCUUUUCUUUCAGAAGUCCAGAAAAAUUCAAACACAUGACUACUAUGUGCUACUUGAAACUCUUUUUUUAAGACAAUGUGUUUGUAAUUCAAGAGCCAAACAUCUGAUCUGAUGGUAAGAGAUUUAGUAAGAGGUUUUUCCAGAACUAAAAAUCACAAACUAUUAAUUAAUAUACAACUGAUAGGCAUAGCAGCAAGAACACCUUACAGAACUGUGACAUUCUACUAUUUUUGCAAACUGCUUUUACAUAAAUGGCUGCCCAUGAAAUUUUCAGAAGCUCCAGCUUUGAUCAAAUGCAGCUAGAGUAUUAUCACAGAAGGUGUCUGGGGAAUGAAUCAUGAGAGCUGUUUGUGUUCCUUUCUUAAAUACAGGAAAAAAGCAACCUGUCUUCAUUUUUUGAAGAUGCAUAAAAAGUUUCUCACCUUCUGGUAUUUCUGCCACCAUUUACAUGAAUACUGGUCUUCCCAUGAGACAGGUUUUGAAGGAAAUAUCUGGCAUUUAUUGAGGGAUUCUAACUGAACUGCAGACAUGGUUGAAGGCAACACACAUUCAGGAAGAAUUUGCACUUUAGCUUGCUGGAUUCUAAAAUAAAGAGAACCAAGCAUGGUGUUCAUUUUUAAAAUAAACUAACUCAAACUAUUAAGUUUCUAAACAUUAUGGGUAAUUUUAAAUACUAAGAUUUUCAGUUUUCUUUUUUAAACAUAUCCAUAGGAUACUGAUGUUAAGAUGCAAGAAUCUUCAGAAAUACUUUAUUCCAGAAAUUAUACCAAUGUUAAAAUCAAAAUAACCUAAAGCAUAGAUUUUCAAUCUCCCUGUGAAAUGUAAAGGGAGAUUUGUAUAUUUCAGAUAAAUAUAGAGUCUACUAAUGAAAUUUAAAAAAUCAAAUUACAACCAUCUACUACUGCUUGAUACUUCUAAAUUAGUUUCUUAGACAUUCUUAAAUACCCUACACCCCAUCCCAGAUCCCCAUCUGCUGCCUGGCUUUUACACCUGUCCCUUCUCCUAAGUCUAAUCUAACUGGAAGAAUAGGUAGAGAAAGGAAUAGAAAAUCAAGAACCCACUUAUAUGGAUAGUUAAAAUAAGACUACAGAAUUACAUGUACCCUGUACUGAUAUGUGCAUUCUUUUUUCUCCUCCUCAAACAUUUAACCUGAAAACGCAAAGAAUCAAAAUAUGCAUAUUAUUUUUUCUUACCUAAAAAUUACUUAAACUCCCAUGAGAGUGAAGUCACCAUUUCCAGACUACUUGAGAAUAUCAUACCCACAAACAUCUCAUCAUGAACAAAUGCCAACAGGAAGACUGUACCUAUGAGCUAUUUUCUUUUGAAGCAUUUCUCCUAGAGUACGGCUCUUAAAAUGCAGAAUAUAUUAGUACAUUCGAAUGCUGGAACAAAUCACUAUCAGACUGACAAAGUUCAAUGUAUUACAGUUUCUGCUUCAUUAUUAAUUAUGUUUAGAAAUUCUCAAGUGGUUUUUCAUAUUAAUCACUGCCUUGACCCACAAAAAGUUAGGAGUGAAAUUUUGAUACUUCUACUUAUUUAUUAAAUGAAAAUGGCUAACUUGGUUAGACUCGUUCCACUAACUUUAUUUCCCUCCUGCAAGCUCAAAUUUAUGUAUGCAUGACUUCUGAAAAUCUUUAAAAAAAAAAAACCCAAACAUGUUCAAACUAUAUUCAAAUUAUUCUCAUAUUAUUAGAGGUCAUUAAAAACAAAAAAAAUUCUCUUUCUUCAGCUGUCACAUGAACACAAAUAAUCUUAUUUUUAAAAACAAAAGUGUGUGCCAUUCUACAGAAGUGUUUAGAAAUCUGAGUCUUCCUGAAGGUCAUCAGCAACUAAAUCAUGAAUGAUGUUUAACUCAACUAUCAUGUAAGAUUUUAUUGUAUUAUGAUAAAAAUAUCAAUGUUACUGAAAGAUCGGCUUUCUGAUCCUUUUACUGAUUAGUCUGCUGUCCCAACUGCCUUGCAGGACUGAGCAACAUUCUCCACUGCUUUUGCUAGACAUGCCCAGGGUCUGCUGCACAUACGUACUCGUUCUCCCACCUGGUGGGUUCUGUUUUAAAUAAACCUACUUUUCUUUCUUUACAAUCUGUUUAUAGCAGUUGCUUUGUGAUUAUAGUUACAUAAUUUAUGUAAGUAAUAUAAAAAAACCAAUGAAAUAUUGACUUAAAUAAAAUGGCUUUAAUGAAUAAAGCUGAGCAAUAAAAACUGCUUUCAAAUUAGGUUCAGACAGUUCUAGUAAUUCAGAUAAUUACUGAUUAUUGGUUUUGGUAUGACAGGUAAGAGAACUUGUCCUGUAAUUCCCAACAGGGUAUUAAUCUCCUUCUCUCCACAUGCUAAGGAAUCCUCAGGAAUUUUUGAAGGGUUCUAUGGUGAUUCAAUGACACACUUCUACUUUUUCAUUAACUUUUCAAAACAAACAAACAAACAAACAAACAAAACCUUCCAUGUGUUCAGAAAAUGCCAAAGAAAUAAAGACUCCUAACUCAGAAGAGGCCAGAAGGCAGUGCUAUACAGUUUUUAAAUGAAGGGUCAUUUACAUAAAAGAGAUGUGACUAUUAUCUACUACUUGACUGGAGAAAAGGAAACUGGCUUGAGUUUCAAGGUGCUAUGGAGGGAGUUCAAGUAGAGUAAGAGGAGUGUAAGUUUGGAAGUCAGGGGACCUAGAAUCAACCAACUGUUGCUUACUAGCUGCAUGAAUUUGGGCAAAUCACUUCCUCUCUCUAGUACUUAGUUGUCUUAUUUGGAAAAAGAGGAAAAUGCCCUAUAUUAUCUCCAUCUCACCAUUUCUACUAAAGGGAGUUACAAGCCAGAGGGGCAAAGCAGAGAAAUCCCACUCUAGGGAAGCCUUUUAUAGUAAGAAAGACUCACCUCUGUGAGAGGUCUUAGCAGUGGGUCUAUGGAAUAAUAAAGAGAAUGUUCCCAAGCCGAAUCUUGUCUAACCCUAUCAGUUUCAUGUUUAUCUUCAUUAGAGUCAAACAUAGUCUUUGACCUGUUUUCAGAGUUAAUGGUCUACUGCCAUCUUGUGUUGAAAAGUUUCUUCACAAUCAAAAGUGAAGAAAGCCUCACAAACAUACUUUUCUCCCAAGUCAUUUUUCUUUUAUGGUUCCUAUAAUAUAGUACCCACAAAUAAUAAAAAUUUUCUAAGUAGGAGUAUAAGAAAUACUUUAAAUAUGGAACUGUUAGUAAAAUCUGCAGUAACAAAACAGCUUGCUAAUUAUCACAAUGCAGAGCCCCCAGGAGCACACCGUUUCAUUCAUUCACCUAGCAUUUAUGGUUCUAAGUGUAGAACAUACAGGCAGCUCAUCUACUGAUGGAGACUGAUAUACAAUCCUAUAAUGAUAGUACAGUGUAUUAACACCACAAGAGUCUGCACUGGGAAUGUUCUGGCGGUACCACUGAGGGCUCUGGCAUCUCAUCCCUCAUUUUUCUAUGCUUUCUCUAGCCCCAAAAGGUUGCUUUAUUGUCCAUUAUACUUCCAUAAUUCAGUGAUAUUUGUAAAUGUCCACCAUGUGAACAAGACAACACUUCUGAAGUUCCACGUGUUCAGAGGAUAUUAUCUGUUCAACACAGAGGUCAGGUAACAUUUUCAGUUUCGCUGUAAAGAGACCAAUUCACUAGGACUGGGUGAAUCCCAAGAAUCUGUACCCUUAUAACAUAUCACAGGUGAUUCUUAUGUGCCAGAGUUGAGAACCACUCCCUCAAGAGGUAACAUCAAUUAUCUGGACAAAUGCUUAUUUUGUUUUGCUUUGUUUUUAAAAGGAUAAAGAAAGAUGAACUGGAUUUUUUUUUCUUUUUUUUUAUAAGGUUAGUGAUACUUUAAAAGCUUGAGCCAUGAGAACCAUACCACAAUAACUGUUAAAAAAACAUACUCAGAGAAUUUCCAAACUUUAUAAGGCACAGAGACAACAAGCAUUUACUGACCACUUAUUAUAUGUUAAUACAUUCGUGGGUGAUGUAAAAUUCACACCAGAGAUGGGUGCUAACUGCAAAUGGCUUCUACAGUUCAGAUAGAACAGCUGGCAGGUGCAACUGGUGUGGUUUUCAAGUAUCACAGGAAUACUGCAACCACCACAGUUGCCCCGGUGAGCACAGAGAGAGCUCAGAAGCUUGUGGCCUCUCCACUCUGAAGAGAGGUCUUCAAUCCCAAAGAGGCCCUAUCCCCAAAGACAAUGCACUUUGGGUUUACAUGACUAUUCUCAAACCUGGAGGGUCAUGAGAAUCACCUGGAAAUCAUGAAAAAAAGACGCUACAGCCUCACCCAAGGUUAAACCACUCUGUAGGGAAGGGAGAUGAGAACGAAACCCAAGCUUGUAUAGUUUUAAAACUUCCUAAGUGGUUCUGAUGCAUAGCCAAGAUGGAAACCACCAGGCUAUACCUUCAAAGGAAAGAGAACAACUAAUUCAAAGUUACAGAAUGUUAAGGAUCAGUACAAUAGAAAAAAAAUAUAAGAAAACCACCUGAUUUAAUGAUGUACACACAGCUUUAAGAUCCAUGUUAUUUCUUACCCAUCUGACUGUGUUCUUAGCUCAAGGACUUUGAACCUUUGUCUUCCAAUUGCUUUCACUUUCACUAUCUCAAUUCCGAAAUCCUGUUCUUCUCGAUAGGCAUAUAUCUCUGCUGUUGUUCCAAACUGUGCUUCCCUCUCCUGUAUAUUACUUCCAAGAUAAAUUUUAAAAGGAAAUAAUUUUGAACAUUUAAUUUUUAAAUAUGCAAAGGUGGCAAAAAAGUUUAAAUUUAAAUUUAACAUGAUAAAAAAGUUACAGCAUUUAGCCCUUACUGCAAAGCUAUUAUCAUUUUAUUUUGAAAUCACAUGAGGAAUGCAGACACGGAAGGCUUCAGUAUUACAAUGAGAGCAAAAAACAACAACAACAAAAAAAGGAAUUACAAUUAGAGCUCUUUAGGAAAAUAAUAGGUCUCUCUAGUCAUUGAAAAUGAUCUAAGACUGACAGGGGUUUAAUGUCAUUUUCCAAAGGAGACAUUCUUUUACUUCAGUAGACCAUCAUUGCUGCUGCUUAAUAUUAGCAGCAUUGUAGUUGGGUGGGAAAUCCCCGCAUUCAUUUCCUGCCUCUACCACUGAUUUCCUUUGGUUGCCACAGAAUACCUGCAAUACCAGUUUGCCACUGGUCUAUAACGGGACAACUUAUGAAUUCCGAGAGACAGAGAAAAGAACAAGUUACUCCUUUGUACAUUAAAAUGUCAAAGCCCUCUUUCUCUUUAAAUAAUGAGAGUGCUUGAAAAUAAGAUUACAGAAAUUUUCAUUAGACAGAAGUGAUUAAAUUUCAAAUAUCAGAAAGCUUGUGUGUUACAGUAAAUGUCUGAUCUAAAUGGUAAUAAGAACAGUAAAAAUAGUCCAACUUGCACUUUCAAUCUUUUCAUCAAAAUUUCUUACCUCACAUCCUUAUCUAGUCUUCUGUGCAUGCAAAAUAAGUCAGGUUUGGCUUUAUCACUGACCUCUGUCUGCUGUGGCUCUACAUGAGAGAGAAUGUGUUAGGCAAAUUCAUUCUAAUAUUUUACCUGUAUGCAAGAACUGCAAAGGUUCUGUCUUUCUGAAUUAAAUUCCGCACCAUACUGACUUCCUGAGGACGAAAAAGCUGAAGAGGUAAGGUCUGCCCAGGGAUCAGGAUCAUCAUCACCUGUGGCAGAACUGGAAUAAUCUGACAGCUGUCGUCAUCGUGCAAGGUCCUGCCAUGAAAUUCUUCCAUAUCAGCGCCCAGAUACUAUUUAAGAAAACACAUAUACACUGUCAUUUUCGACAUGUAAUAAAAGCUCAACAGACUAAAGAGCAAAUCAGAUUAAAAGAAAUAUAAACAGACACAAGUAUUUACUUAAAUAACAAACUCAGUGCAUCAGCCUCCCACACGAAAAUCUAAUUCUGAUUCUUACGAGUGGAAGUUCUAUUAUCUUUUGAGGAAUGUCUCACAAAUUCAAGAACAUUUUUUAGUUCAAAAUAUUUUUCUUUGACUAAGAUAAAAAACCUCCCUAUGUCCAAAUAUCACACAUGACAACUAUAAAAUGUUAGAAUGUUAACUAACACCCUAGUACCAAGUAGUGCAGAGAGUAAGGAGUACUUUAGUAGCUCCAUUACUAGCAGAAACAUACGGAGGAAGCCAAUUCUUCAAAGAAUUGUCCAGGACAUAGUAUCAAACCGCUUGAAAAUUAGCACGUUUAGAGUUAAGCAUGUGUACUUACUGGCAAAUGCCCAUGUCCUCAUCCACAAUUCCCAAUAUGAAGUAAUAUCCAAUAAGGCAAACCUCAGCCACUUGUUGUAAGGAACCUCCAUCUACUGUCCUAUGUAUGCAUCUACUGUAUAAGAUUUGUUACAGUACAUACUGUGUGUGAUGUUGGCAGACUGGUGUCAAAAUUUAUGACGUUUGGUUUUUUGGCUUCUUUGCUGUCCUGGUCUUCGACUUCCAUUUCAAUUUCAUCUUCUUCCUCACUCUCUGCUAUAAAAGUAAAAGAGUAUGAGAAACAAAAAAUGGAUGCAAGGAAAUGUCAAAGCGAUAUUCCCCUUCAAAUGCAUAAUUCCUUCAUGAGGAUUCUGAGCCCACGAGAGGGCUUCUUCUAAAUACCACUCGCAUGUGGUGAUCUCCACAUUUUGUGAAGAGGCAGCCAGAGACUGGGGUCUAUGCCGGGCUCUGUCACUAACCACUUUUUUUUUUUUUUUUUCUUGGAAUAGUUCAAGAUUUACAUAGAGAUUGCAAAGACAGUACAGAGAAUUCCUUUUCCUGUAGUCCUCCCCUCCACUUACCCUAUAAGCUAACAUCUUCUGUUAGUAUGGUACACUUGUCUAAGCAAUCAGUGUGGGUACAUUACUACUAACUAAUCACGUUUUAUUCGGAUUUUCUUAUUUUCACCUACUAUCCUUUUUCUGCUUCUGGAUCCCAUCCAGGUUGGCACAUGACAUUUACCUGUCAUGUCUCCUUAGCCUCUUUGGGGCUGAUUUUCAAACUUUCCUUAUUGUUAAUGGCCUUCACAUUUGUGAGGAGUACUAGUUAGGCAUUUUGUAGCGUGUCCCUCAAUUAGAAUUUGAUAUAUUUCUCAUGAUUACACUGAGGUUAAAUACCUUGGGGAGAACACCGCAAGGGGUUCGUAUCAAGGGUGCAUACUAUCAAUAUGACUUAUCACUGCUGAUGUUGACCAUAAUCACCCCCCUGAGGUAUUCUUUGUCCGGUUUCUCUACUGUAAAGUUACUCUUUUCCUCCUUUGUACUCUCUGGAAGACAAUUACACAGCACAACUCACACUUAAGAGGUGAGGGACUAUGUUCCCGUCUCCUUGAAAAGGAAGUAUCUACAUAAGUAUUUAAAUUCUUCAGUGUGCGAGAUUUGUUUCUUCCCUCUUGCCAGUAGUAACUAACUUAGACUCCUUACUUAGACAAUUCAUUUCACCUGAUUAUGCCUUAGUUUCCACAUGUGAAAAAUGACAGCCAGGAACAAGAGAAUCUCUAAGCUUCUUUCAAACUCUUAAUUUUAAGAGUUUUUACAGAAGACAGGAAUGAAGGAGGGAGGGAAGGAGCGAAGGAAGGAAGGAAGGAAAGCCCUUUAAUUAAAACAGAAAAGUUAACAUUACUACCCAGCAAAAAUAUUCUCAUAGCAGGGACAUCACCUCCUUGGCUGUCACUGUACUAUUAAAAAAUGAAAUGUAGUAAUCAUUUUCAUUCCAAUUUUGUUUUGAAUUUUAAAUUAAAAAAAAAAAAAGCUCACAUGGAACUUAAAACAUAUUUUAAAGUAGUACCUUAGAAAACUCUCCCCAAACAUAAUUUUUAAAUUAUGAAAACUAAGCCAAUCUACUUUAAAACCUUGAUGUUAUUAGUAAUAGAAAGUUAGAAAAACAGGUGCUAUUAUACUAAAUGGGAAUCUGUGCUGUUAACGCCAGCUGCGGGUAAAAUUCCUACCCUAGAUCAGCAGUUCUCAACCAGGGGAGAUUUUGCCCCUCAAGGGAUAUUUGGAAAUGUCUGGAAAUAUAUUUGAAUGUCACAACUAGGAGAGCCCUACUGGCAUCUAGUGGGCAGAGCCCAGAGAUGCUGCUAAACAUCUUAUAAGGAUUGCAUCGGGCCUCACAACAAAGAAUUUUCCAGCUCCCCAAAUCUAACGUGUUGCGGUUAAGAAAUCCUGGCCUAGAAAAACUGAAUCUCAUUUUUUACCUCAUAUUUCCUAUACUUUUACAUGCCCCAAAUACACUUCUAAACAGGUAAAAUGUCAUUACAAAACUGUCAUUUUCUUUUGUGUAUGUCACUAUUUAAAUCAAGUUACUUCCAGCUAGGUUCCUGACAAGGAAAAAAAAAUGUUUUUCAAUGUAGUAAUUGCCUUAGACUUUCUAUUAAUUCUCAGGAAUUCCUAGAUACAGGGAUUGGUCAAAAAGAGUAACACAAUUAUUUCAACUUAUAUUUAAAUGGUUGGCCAGCUGUCUAACACUUCAUACAUAUUUUUGCUAAAAACAGGAUCUUCACCAAAAGUAAAAAAAAAAAAAAAAAGAAUCUCUAUCAAUUUCCUUAUAUACAGUCGCCUUUCUCAUAAAUAUGGCCAAAACCCACUUCCCUGUAUUCGGCUAUUUAUUAAUGUUUCCUUUGGCCAAGAUGGAUUCUAUGCAUCUUAAAUAUUAAACUAUUUCCUUAGCAUUUACAGAGUGUUGCUCCUCAAAACUCAUACUACAUAGACUUAUGGGUAAUCCAUUGUUUCUUUACAAAUAAAACUCAUAUGAUUUAGAAAGCUUUAUUAUAUCUACAACCUCUCUGGGACUUCUCACUCCUGAUUCUUUUUUUCUUUUUUUUUAUUUUUAAAUUAUUAAUUUGAGAGAGAGAAUGUGCACAUGGGAGCGUGGAGGGGGAAGAGGAAGAGAAUCUUCAAGCAGACUCCCCUCUGAGUGUGCAGCUGAUGCGGGGGCUAGAUCCCAGGACCCUGAGAUCAUGACCCAAGCAGAAAUCAAGUUGCUUAACCAACUGAGUCACCCAGACAACCCCUCACUCCUGAUUCUUUUCAACAAAACACACACUGUGUUCGGAACUACCAGGGUGAAGCCUGAUGACUCAUCUCAUGGGGGAGCACCGCAUGAAUGCCGACAGAACAUCAGUAACCUCCCUGAAAGAGUGGAUCUGGCAGAUUCAGAGUGGGGCUGAUGUCUCUGAAAUAAACAGCUCAGCUCUUCAGUCAAAGGCUGACACACUUACCUUCAUGUCAAUUCAGUUAGGUUGGCUUCAGGAACAACCACUGACUCUGACUCUGGUUUAUUUUUACAUAAAAGGUCCCUUCUAAAUGGUGGGCAUGCAUUCAGUCUUCUCCUUCAAUUCACACAACUCCCAGGGGAAAAUUAAUCCUCCAAGAAAAGCCUUCCUUGGGCAACUCCCCGUAACCCACUAUUGUUUCUUGGCAACCCACAGAAAAAAGCCUCAACCCACUGGCAAGAAGACUCAAGCUUCCUCAACAAAUUAGACUCAACCUACCACAGCCUAGGCCUUCUCUUCCACAACCCCAUCCUAAGUGUAUGCUUCUGGAUGUCUCCAGAUCCAUUUCACAGUGCUUUACCUCAAUCCCUCUUAAGGACAAUAACAGCAUUAAUUUAUCAGGUCCUAAAUCAACUACCUUUUGCCUCAUAGAGAUUAUAAACCUCCUCAAGUACCAGACUGUGUAUCAUACCUAUUUUCAACUGCACAACAUCUAACCUGCACGAGGUGAAGGAACUCACCUAACAGACCCAGUUUGUCUGGUAACCUCUUAAAAAGCAUCACUUCUAUAGCCUUCCACGACAAAUUUGUACAAUGAAUUCAUACACUUUUUUUUCCCCGCCCAGGAUUCUAAUAUAAAGCCAAGGUCUAAAUUUUUGUAAAGUACAAUGGAAAAAAGAAAACUGAAUAUAAGAUCACACUCCUAAGUCUCUAUCGAACAUAUUCUACUACCUGCUUGAGCUACAAACCUUGAGAAAAACAUACCAAUACUGCCUUGGCAGUGAAGUGGUUAAGCGACAGAGGCUAUGCUGACUGAAGGACUAGAACUGCAGUUCCGGCUCUGCAACUGUGUCACCUUGGGCAAGUCACUGAACUAAUCCACUAGUCCAUUUUUCACCUACCAAAUCGGAAUCAGAAAAGUUAUGCGGGGAGGAUUAAACCAGAGAUGUAUGCAAAGCGCUUACUGUAGGACCCCUGAAAUGCAUCCGGCCUUGACGUGAAGAAGACGUGACCUGCCCAUGGUCUUCCCCAGAGGUGACACCAAAAUUGUGAUCUGCACCCUGGGUCAGCCAAAAACCCUGUGGACAAGAAAGGACAGCUCGAAGUCUGGUGGGACAACCCUCAUUUGUUUGGGGCAACAGUGUGGGCAGCCCAGUGGGGUCAUGUUUGCACAAGCCCACCAUAGCUGCAUGGCUCCCUCUUCCCCAUGAUCCUUUGCAGCACGGCAUGGGCUGAUGUGGUAUAAAGUCUGCUGGGCAGCCAUGGAGAAUACGAAGAAGGCAAGGACACCUCCAGACAAGAUUUCAUUCCGGCUCACUCUGUUGUGAUGAAAACUAAGCUCCAGUUAGUUUGAUGGCUAAAACCAGCCCAACAGCCGAAAGAGUCUUGAAAGGAAAUCACAGAUUUUAGAGAAAGCAAUGUGAGAUUUACCUGUAGAUAUAUUCUGUUACCAUUUUUUAAAAACAAAUAUGUAUUUCUUAAUAUUCAGAACACUGGAGUUAUACCACAAGGAAAGAGUCUGGGGUCAAUGAAGAUUUUUGAAUUUGC